rnacentral:SRP_RNA from 3 species
GGCGGGUCUCCCCGCAUUGUGGUGUAGUAAACCUGGUCAGGUCCGGAAGGAAGCAGCCAUAGCUAUUACCGCAAGUGCCGGGGUUAAGGCUCGCCUCC